rnacentral:tRNA from 1 species
CCCUGGGUGGUGCAAAUAUUUAAUAUACUUGGCUGCUAACCAAAAGGUUGGUGGUUCAAGUCCACCCAGAGGCA